AGGAGGCAGCAGUAAGGAAUGUUGCACAAUGGGCGAAAGCCUGAUGCAGCAACGCCGCGUGCGCGAAGAAGGCCUUCGGGUCGUAAAGCGCUUUUCGGGGAGAAGAGGAAGGACGGUAUCCCCGGAAGAAGGCUCGGCUAACUACGUGCCAGCAGCCGCGGUAAAACGUAGGAGCCAAGCGUUAUCCGAAUUCACUGGGCGUAAAGCGCGUGCAGGCGGCCUGCUAAGUUGGCUGUGAAAUCUCCUGGCUCAACUGGGAGGGGCCGGUCAAUACUGGUAGGCUCGAGGGCGACAGAGGGAGGUGGAAUUCCGGGUGUAGUGGUGAAAUGCGUAGAUAUCCGGAGGAACACCAGAGGCGAAGGCGACCUCCUGGGUCGUACCUGACGCUCAGAUGCGAAAGCUAGGGGAGCGAACGGGAUUAGAUACCCGAGU
rnacentral:rRNA from 1 species